rnacentral:rRNA from 1 species
CAACGGGGAAAAGCCCAAUGAGGGAUCUCAGGUGCCAGCUCGUAAAAGUUGGCUGUUUUUCUGUCCCCCCUUUAAGGAGAGUAAGGGCUGGGUAAGAGGGGUGCCAGCCCCCUCGGUAAUACCUGCAGCUCAAGUGGUGACCGUUAUUAUUGGGCCUAAAACGUUCGUAGCGGUUUAGUAAAUGCCUGGGUAAAUCGUGUAGCUUAACUAUACGAAUUCCGGGUAGACUGCUAAACUUGAGACCGGGAGAGGCUAGAGGUACUCCUGGGGUAGAGGUGAAAUUCUGUAAUCCUAGGGGGACCACCAGUGGCGAAGGCGUCUAGCUAGAACGGGUCUGAUGGUGAGGGACGAAGCCCUGGGGCACAAACCGGAUUAGAUACCCGGGUAGUCCAGGGUGUAAACGCUGCUUGCUUGAUGUUAGUUGGGCUCCGAGCCCAACUAGUGUCGGAGAGAAGUUGUUAAGCAAGCUGCCUGGGAAGUACGGUCGCAAGGCUGAAACUUAAAGGAAUUGGCGGGGGAG